ACUCCUACGGGAGGCAGCAGUAGGGAAUCUUCCACAAUGGGCGCAAGCCUGAUGGAGCAACACCGCGUGAGUGAAGAAGGGUUUCGGCUCGUAAAGCUCUGUUGUUAAAGAAGAACACGUAUGAGAGUAACUGUUCAUACGUUGACGGUAUUUAACCAGAAAGUCACGGCUAACUACGUGCCAGCAGCCGCGGUAAUACGUAGGUGGCAAGCGUUAUCCGGAUUUAUUGGGCGUAAAGAGAGUGCAGGCGGUUUUCUAAGUCUGAUGUGAAAGCCUUCGGCUUAACCGGAGAAGUGCAUCGGAAACUGGAUAACUUGAGUGCAGAAGAGGGUAGUGGAACUCCAUGUGUAGCGGUGGAAGUGCGUAGAUAUAU
rnacentral:rRNA from 1 species